CUUUCAGCAGAUCACUCCACUAUAUAAAGUAAAAAUAUAGGUAUAUAAAUUUUUGCUAUCAUCAUGAUCUAACUGAAAACUAAAAUCAGUAUAUUCUACAAGUUUAAAGUCAGUAUCUCCAUAUAUUAACCAUUGAUCCUUAGUAUUUUUUAAAUACUUAAAGAUUGUCUUCAUAAUCUUUCAAUGAUUUUCAUCUGGAUC
rnacentral:lncRNA from 1 species